rnacentral:rRNA from 1 species
GACGAACGCUGGCGGCGUGCUUAACACAUGCAAGUCGAACGAUGAAGCCGGAGCUUGCUCUGGUGAAUUAGUGGCGAACGGGUGAGUAACACGUGAGUAACCUGCCCUUGACUCUGGGAUAACUGCGGGAAACUGUAGCUAAUACCGGAUACGACCCUCGGAGGCAUCUCCUGGGGGUGGAAAGAAUUUCGGUCAAGGAUGGACUCGCGGCCUAUCAGCUUGUUGGUGAGGUAACGGCUCACCAAGGCGACGACGGGUAGCCGGCCUGAGAGGGUGACCGGCCACACUGGGACUGAGACACGGCCCAGACUCCUACGGGAGGCAGCAGUGGGGAAUAUUGCACAAUGGGCGCAAGCCUGAUGCAGCGACGCCGCGUGAGGGAUGACGGCCUUCGGGUUGUAAACCUCUUUCAGCACCGACGAAGCGCAAGUGACGGUAGGUGCAGAAGAAGGACCGGCCAACUACGUGCCAGCCGCCGCAGUAA